rnacentral:pre_miRNA from 1 species
AGCCAUCUGUAUCCGUGCUGAGAUUUCGUCACACACCAGACCACAAGGGCUGAUGAGACUUCGAAGUCACCUUACCC